rnacentral:rRNA from 1 species
UACGUAGGGGGCAAGCGUUGUCCGGAAUCAUUGGGCGUAAAGCGCGUGUAGGCGGCUAGGUAAGUCUGCUCUGAAAGCCCGGGGCUCAACCCCGGGAGGCGGGUGGAUACUGUCUAGCUCGAGUCCGGAAGAGGAGUGUGGAAUUCCGUGGUGUAGCGGUGAAAUGCGCAGAUAUCAGGAGGAACACCAAUGGCGAAGGCAGCACUCUGGGACGUGACUGACGCUGAGACGCGAAAGCGUGGGGAGCAACAGG